CCUACGGGAGGCAGCAGUGGGGAAUAUUGGACAAUGGGGGGAACCCUGAUCAGCCAUGCCGCGUGUGUGAAGAAGGCCCUCGGGUUGUAAAGCACUUUCAGUGAGGAAGAACGCCUGGUGGUUAAUACCCAUCAGGAAAGACAUCACUCACAGAAGAAGCACCGGCUAACUCCGUGCCAGCAGCCGCGGUAAUACGGAGGGUGCGAGCGUUAAUCGGAAUUACUGGGCGUAAAGCGCGCGUAGGUGGCUUGAUAAGCCGGUUGUGAAAGCCCCGGGCUCAACCUGGGAACGGCAUCCGGAACUGUCAAGCUAGAGUGCAGGAGAGGAAGGUAGAAUUCCCGGUGUAGCGGUGAAAUGCGUAGAGAUCGGGAGGAAUACCAGUGGCGAAGGCGGCCUUCUGGACUGACACUGACACUGAGGUGCGAAAGCGUGGGUAGCAAACAGGAUUAGAUACCCCGGUAGUC
rnacentral:rRNA from 1 species